GCCUUGAUGGCGCAGUAGGCAGCGCGCGAGUCUCAUAAUCUGAAGGUCGUGAGUUCGAUCCUCACUCGGGGCA
rnacentral:tRNA from 1 species